GAUGCGGCCCAUUUGUUCCUCAUGUUUGUGGUCUUACAAAAUUCAGGGUCGACACUGGCACUAUAGCCUUUGUUUCUGUUGAGGAUUCUUCGCCGACCUUAGACAGCCCUCAAGCUUUAUGCUAUGUCACACACACACCAAACAUCAUAACAGACCAAGCAAUAUAGAGAGAAAGAAGAAGAUAAAACAGAGCAGAGAAGAGGGAAGAAGAGAAGCACACAAACGAUUGUUCACCCUGAGUUCACCAAGUUGGCUACAUCUCAGGGGAGGGAGACUGUCCCCCAACUGCAUCCACUAAUAGAAGAAGAUAACAGAGAUUACAAGUGAUUCACUCUCAAGACUCACUCGUCGGCCACUCUCUGUUCUACUUGAGAAAAUCCCACCCAAAGCUUAAGCCUUUACAUGUUUUCUCUCACCCUUCUAUCUCCUAGAGCUACAUUGUGUCUAUCUUCUUGUGGCUUCCUAUCUCUCAUGUCUUCAUAUCACUUUAUAUAUGGGAGACAACCUCAAACCCUAGUGCAGCUAGCAAACGAGUCCUCAUCUUAUUCACAAGAGGACAAAGUAUCCUUCUUGACCAUGAAUUCAAAUGAUCCUCCUUGUGGUCCCAAAAGCUCUUCUAACUUUAGUUAAUAUAAUCAACCUUGGUUAGGACUUGAGUUUACCUUUGGUUUGCACAUGAUCCUUGUUUGGUUGCUCAUCAAGUUCUCAUAUCUUCACAAAUCUCCACCUGAGAACAUGAUGAUCAAAACCAAGCAACCUGCACAAACUUGAGAGAGUACCUUCUUCUACUUUCUUGGAUCCCAAUCUCGGCUCUUGAGUAUCAUUACUCUGCCUUGAUACUUAGCAGUUUAAAAUGCCAUAAACUUGCUUGAUCCUCGCUGCAUUUAGCUUACGUUCAAUGCACUUCAGCUGUGACUACUCACAUUGCUGAACCUGAGCCAUCAACACAUCCUUAGAUCACCAGAGUUGUGAAAACCAGCUUCAUACAAACUUGUAUUAAGCUCAACUCUUCAGUGAUCACUUCAUGAUACAUUCAACACUUGAAUUAUGAUGUUACCACUCAGCAAAAAUUUAUUAACAAGUCAAGAAAACACCUCCAGCUUGUCAAUCUCAACAGAAAACUCCAUAAGCUCCACCACCUAUGAGCUGUUCAAUCACACAUUCUCCACCACGGCUUCUGUUAAUGCCAUAAGCAUGUUACAGUGAUUGAAGUACCACUUAUCCCUCUGCAAAACCUGAUUCCCUUGCUAAAGCUUCUAGGAUUUACUCAUGCGCAUUGAGAUCAAAAUCCUUUGAAUUCACUUGAAUCAAUUGCAGAAAACUGAAUCAACUUAGCCUCAGACUUGAAGCUCUUGAUUCACCAGGUGAACAGCCUCACCAACCAGCUAAAUAUACACUAUAUAGCUAUAGACUGAACCUUUCACCUCCUGUUUAAACAACCCAGUCUUGAACAUAAACCUUGAUCAAACUCUCUGUUAAAACAGAACCACCACCAGCAGAUUUUAACCACUACUAGUUAUCUUUACACCUGUCUCAUAUCAGCAAAACCUUGUGAUAUCCCUGAGACAAACAUGUACAGCUACUUCUGCACCAAAUCUAGAACCCUUGGUGCCCUUCCAGUUGUAACCACAGACCUGCAAAACCUGCAGAACUCCACCAAACGACUUGAACCUUACCUCAUUCAAUUUCAAGACUUAAGCCAAAGCCUUUCCCUUCUUUAUCAUCAAUACUUGAAGAUACUUUACUUGAAUGACCUGCAAGCGUCUGGUCAAAUGCAAUUUGAAUUUCCUGCAUUUGCGUCUCUUCUAAGACUCCAUUUCAGUUGCUAACACCAGCCUUGAGAUGAGUUGUUUAUCAAGCUUGAUACACAACACUUUCACAGUCUUGAAGUGAAUAGCCUUGAGACAGCUCCUGCAACACUUGCAAUUGUCUCUUUCAGUUUCCUCCUUAGAGAAUUCCCCUGAACCACUUCAUUUUCUUCAUCUCACACCUUAGUGUCUUCUCUGAAAUUUUCAGAAAAAAACCUGCAACUCACUUUCAGAAAAUCCACAGUUCACAACUUGAAACCUGCAACUUGUUUCUGAAAUCCUUACCAAUCAGCCAGCUUCAAACCAAAUAUGUAAGACCCUUUUUUUACCUUCAGAUUAUAACCCAAUCUGAGCUGAACACCUGUUGAUAACCACCUGUUCUUGGCUUUCCCUUCUUCUUGAUACAAUGAACUUCCAUGAACCUUAAACAACAGUGAUAUCCAGCCUUUUAACUCCAUGCUACUGAGCUAAACACCCAGACAACCUCCACAAAUAGCUCCACCAGGAACCAUAACCAUUUGAGUUACAAUGUCUAUGUAAGCUCAGCCUCACUUCUCUGAGUUAAACUGUUCUUCUGUUCACUCACACUUUCUUAUGUAUUAGAGUGAGUUCCCAUGGCCUCUUUCUUGAGAAAACCGUACUAUAACUUGUAGCACAUCUUCUUCUUCAUGUAACCACUCCAUCUUAUUCAUAUGUACCCAAAGAACCACCAAGAACCUUCUUUUAUUUCCAGCAGCCUUGUCAUCUCUACUUGGAGCAUUCUUCAUAAUCUAAUAGUGCAACAACUUAAGCUGAUACGCCAUCAAAUCAUACCUCCAUCCUAGAAAACCAAAUCUUGUACUCUUCUUUAGCAAAAUCAACAUAUACAUAUCUUGCAUCGCUGUUCAAAUGAAUAGAACACGCCGCCUAACUCUCCUAGCUAGGAAGAAUUUCGACACGAGAAAAUAAUACGGUCAAUUGCGUACCAUCAUAUACUUCUUUUGUCGCUUGAAGAUCUGAUUCAAAACACAAGAUAACCACUGAGAAUUAAAUGCUCCACCCGAGAUAAGAACUCCUUGUUCUCUUACAUUCAUUCCAACAGAAUCAUCAUGUGUUAUACCAAACACAAAUCUGUAGAAUUUAUGAAUCUUUGCUACUGCCAUCUUGUCUCGAAAACAAGAACUCUUACGCUAUCCAGCUUACACCAAACAGUAGAUUUCCGGAGCCACACUGCAUUCCCUCUGAAAAUAGCAGCCUUGUAGCUUCACGAUCUCUAAAGAUCCACCAACUGAAGACUUUUAGAUUCACAAGAAUCUAACCAUUACCACUGAGACAGAACUCUGCAACAAAUCAUCACCCAAACUCAACCAACCACUGAAGUCUUGUCUUUAGAACUGAAUCCAGAAAACCCUUUUACAAAUACCCCACAGCCUAAUACUCAUAAAAAUUUCCAAGCUUCUAAGGCGUCCCUCAGUCCCAUGGAAUUCUAUGAGUUUCCGAGGCUGUGGUAACACUAGUAUUCGAAUACCAACUGUAAAAGACUGUACCAACCAGAUUCAAAACUCCAUGAAAAAACCAGCAUGAAACCCAAUACUGAAUCUUUUCAAUCUCUUGCGAUAACAGUGGAACGAGACUUGAAGCCUCCAAAUUUUGAGUCUUGAGAAAUAAGAAUGAUUCUGAUCCAAAGAUUGUAGUCAAAGAAAUCCGACUUACACGUUUCAAGGAUCUUAAUCAAACUUCAGCCGAUGAUGUUACUGUCUCUCUUCCUUUCCAAACAAGAGUAAACGAAGACACAAACUUGUGGCAUCGUCUUUCUUACUCACUGUAACCUCCAAUUUCUUUACAGAAAAUCAGAAUUUCUGGAUUUACCGGAAGAUAUCCGAGCCUUGCAAGCUCCAGUCUUCAAAUUUCUUUAGCUAAUUUGAGCUCCUUUCUUCUCGAGAACACUUUCUUCUUCAAUCGUCACUUCCUCCUCCGACGAGAAUCUCGAUAUGGUUUACCGAUCCAUCUUCGACUUCAUCGCCGAACCUAAUCGCUCCCAGUCAUAAAACCUCAACUUACGAUUUGACGAUUGCUUAUGUCGUGACUGUCUCUUAGCUUCAGCUUCAACACUUCCGAGAAAGAAGCAUCAAGAGAAACGUACCAUUGUUUCUCUUUCUGACUUUUGGGCAUUUAUGAACUUAGCCCAAAAAACAAAAUAUUCAUUAAUGGGAGGACAGGCCCAUCUUGGCCCAACUGAAGAAAGAAAAAAGAAUUUGUCGUGACCCAUCUUUUCUCUUCUUCUCACCGUCGCUCACCAUCAAACUUUCUCCGGUGAGAAUCUCGGUGCUCUCCGGUGACGCCUUGGUCACCACACCUCCGCGACUCUCUCUCACCGCGUGUCUCUUCCUCGACAGCGAAACCCGAAGCUUCUUCUCCGACUCGUUCUGCUUAUGACAGUGCCGUCUGCUCUUUCACGACGUCAUCGGAAGCUCGAGCCACUCCACCGUAAUCUCAGCCUUCUCCGGUAAGAAUCUCCACACUGUCUCUGUCAUCGAACUCUCUGAGAAUCACCUGAGCUCGUGACAAACAUCCUCUGUUAGCAUCCGAGAUUUCAACAGAAAUCUCUAUCUUCCUCCAUCUUCUCUCUCAAUGCUUCAGCAGAUCUAGUUCUUCUUAGAUGGACAAGACACGCCGUCUUCUUAUGAGAUAUAAUCUCUAAAUCCAUCGUUCUUCUCUAGAGCUGCACUUCCCGAAGCCAUUGCUUAUAAAGGUGUGAUCUUUCUUGACAAAGCUUACAUUUUCCUUGUAAAGCUUGAAUCUUUCUCACCGAAACUUGAAGAUUCUGGAUAAAGCUUGAGUCUUUCAGCACUAACCUGUGCUCUGAUACCAUUUGUUAAGGAUUCUUCGCCGACCUUAGACAGCCCUCAAGCUUUAUGCUAUGUCACACACACACCAAACAUCAUAACAGACCAAGCAAUAUAGAGAGAAAGAAGAAGAUAAAACAGAGCAGAGAAGAGGGAAGAAGAGAAGCACACAAACGAUUGUUCACCCUGAGUUCACCAAGUUGGCUACAUCUCAGGGGAGGGAGACUGUCCCCCAACUGCAUCCACUAAUAGAAGAAGAUAACAGAGAUUACAAGUGAUUCACUCUCAAGACUCACUCGUCGGCCACUCUCUGUUCUACUUGAGAAAAUCCCACCCAAAGCUUAAGCCUUUACAUGUUUUCUCUCACCCUUCUAUCUCCUAGAGCUACAUUGUGUCUAUCUUCUUGUGGCUUCCUAUCUCUCAUGUCUUCAUAUCACUUUAUAUAUGGGAGACAACCUCAAACCCUAGUGCAGCUAGCAAACGAGUCCUCAUCUUAUUCACAAGAGGACAAAGUAUCCUUCUUGACCAUGAAUUCAAAUGAUCCUCCUUGUGGUCCCAAAAGCUCUUCUAACUUUAGUUAAUAUAAUCAACCUUGGUUAGGACUUGAGUUUACCUUUGGUUUGCACAUGAUCCUUGUUUGGUUGCUCAUCAAGUUCUCAUAUCUUCACAGUUUCAAUUAUGUUCGAUUAGGUAGAGACUUUGCCAUAAACAGUUGAUCCAAAACCUUGAACAUACCUAAGGUUGGCUUAUCCUUUAUGAUUUUUUUUAUGAAGUUGCACUCCAAAACUUAAUAUGAUGGUAACUCUAGACUUUCAUUGCUUCUUCUUUAGAGCUUAAUUUGUCUUCUUUUUUUACUUGAUGUGUCCCUUGUCAUGUCUUAGCCAUCUAGAGUCUUCUGAGUUAACUCUUUGCUUUGUCUUGCGUUUAAUUUUUUUUUCUCUUUUCUUGUAC
rnacentral:lncRNA from 1 species